GACGAACGCUGGCGGCGUGCUUAACACAUGCAAGUCGAACGAUGAAGCCGGAGCUUGCUCUGGUGAAUUAGUGGCGAACGGGUGAGUAACACGUGAGUAACCUGCCCUUGACUCUGGGAUAACUGCGGGAAACUGUAGCUAAUACCGGAUACGACCCUCGGAGGCAUCUCCUGGGGGUGGAAAGAAUUUCGGUCAAGGAUGGACUCGGGGCCUAUCAGCUAGUUGGUAAGUUAAAGGCCCACCAAGGCGACGACGGGUAGCCGGCCUGAGAGGGUGACCGGCAACACGGGGACUGAGAGACGGCCCAGACUCCUACGGGAGGCAGCAGUGGGGAAUAUUGCACCAUGGGCGCAAGCCUGAUGCAGCAACGCCGCGUGAGGGAUGACGGCCUUCGGGUUGUAAACCUCUUUUAGCAGGGAAGAAGCGAAAGUGACGGUACCUGCGGAAAAAGCACCGGCUAACUACGUGCCAGCCGCCGCCGUAA
rnacentral:rRNA from 1 species